rnacentral:lncRNA from 1 species
GGCAGCAGCAUGUGAAGGCUCCAUUUUCUUUACACCUGGGCCAAUCUUUAAAAAAAUGUUAGUCACUCUGAUGAGGGGCAUUUUUAUUUGCUUUUAAUUUGCAUCUCCCUGAUGACUGACGUCAUCAUCUGCCUUUCAUAUAUCUCCUUGGAGUUUUUUCAGAUUCCUUAUCCAAUUAAAAGUCAGGCUAGUUGAGUUAUAAUAAGUUCUUUAUGUCCAUACAACCCCUCAUCCAAUAUGAGCUUUCUAUCACUGUGUACUAGAGGGAAACUUUAACCCCUACUGCAAAAUAUUUAUCAAUAGCUAAUAAAUUGCACAAAAGCUAUUCAGUCUGUCCCAGCACCCAUGUACUUAAGUCAAUUUUGAGAUUGUCAGUGCAUCUAAGGAUUUUUAAUUUAUGGUUUGUGACUCCUCAUAGAAUUUCUUCUUAAAGCUUCAUUUAGCAUUUUUGUCUGUUUAUAAUGAUAAGGAUUUUAAUCAUCUAUAGUUUUAGACGAAGUCCUCACUCUUUAGAAUGUUUCACAGUGAGUUUCCAUAUAGAGAUUUCUUUCCCAUCAUGGAACAACCAAGCAUCUGCCAGUGAGUUAACUUUUAUUCUUUUUACUUUAGACAUAAAAUAUGUGUGCUAUAAAAUGAGCCAUCUCUGUUGCUUUUAGGUUGUUCCGUUCUGUGGUGUCCAUGUGUGAACUUAUCGCUCAUUUCCGUCCUCCCACACUCACCUCAUUGGAGAUUGGCUCUCCGUCCUCAUCUCUCCCAGCCAUCACAGUUCCAUUUCCUUCCCUCACCUGGCUCUUGUCCAUUCAUUCGUCACACAUAUAGAAGACAAUACUUGGCUUAUCUCACUUGGGUAGACCAUUGGAGGCGUUCAAGGACAUCUUCAGGUGGACUUCCUAGUGCAGAGUACAUGUCCCCUGUGUCACUGGUCCCACAAACUAAUCACCUGCCCAUUCACACUGAAGAACCUGAGACUAUGUACCUGCCUCCUCUUAGGAGUCUGCUUUAGCAAACUGAGUAAGAAUGCUUUCAGCAUGAAUCACACACUGUAACCAAGUAAUGAGAAAGAAAAAAAAAGCCCUAUUAUCUCUUACUUUAAAAGGACGACCCAUCUGGUCUUUAAACUCAGCUACAAUUCUAUCUUCUUGAAAGAAAUGAAUCUUUCUGCUUAGCUGGAAUUCCUUAACAGACGAAAAGCUUUUCUAAUAAUUCAGAUGUCUGAGACUUGAGGCAAUGAAUUGGCUUCUCUUUGUAAAUGUAGGCGUUCUUUGAGACAUCAUCAGAGUUUUCCCUGGGCAACGUCUUACACAGAUCAUCUAAAACUAAAAAUGUACUUGAAAUUUUUCAAAUUUUGAGUCAACUGAUUUUCGAUGAUAGAAAUAAGUGUAUAUAUUCUGUGAGAAAUAUGUAAUUUGCUCGUGUUGACCCUGAGCAGAAUUGCUCGGUGGUGUGGUGUUUCCUGUUUCCGUGGGUAUCUUUCCGACAAUCGUUUCUCCAGUGAUUUGAGUAGAGUGCAAUACUUGGCUUUACUUUCAUCUGAUCUGUGGUUCUCUUUGCGCGUGUGCGCAUGUGCAAGGGGCAAGCUGCCGUAUAACUGGCACACUUAGAAUCCGAAACCUGCUAAAAAAAAAGUCGCUUAAGGUAUUUUGGUUAGAAAUUUAGAUUUCAUUUUGCUGGUUUUUUGUGGAAUUUUCUUUUGACUAAGUUGCUGAAGAACGACGUAGAUCUGAAACACCGUCUUCAGUGUUGCCUACUGUGUUAUCUUCAAUACUUGAACUCUGUGUCUGCUGCUACUGCCGCCGCUGCUGCUGCUGCUGCUACUGUAAAUUGCAACUGGCAUUCAUCAGUGAAUGUGCAUUGGACCCUCUUCCAGUCCCUUCUUUCCCUACGGGGACACCUACAGUAUGAGCUUCUGUGUCUGCACUGAAUCCUGCCUUAGAGAUAUGCCUUUGACGAAACUUUAAAUAUUUUUCAUGUAUUUUUACCUAUAGAAUACUCAUGACUCCAGUAAGAAGCACUUUGAUUUAUGGUUAUGAACUGUACAGGUAACACCUCACUGUGCUAUUUGCCUAGCGUGUUGAUAUAAUCCUUUAUGAUAUCCCAUCUGUGCAGAGACAAAUGUCAUUUGUCGGUUUGUCAAUGCUGACUAGAUUGGUGACGUAUUUGUGUAUCACUGAAGAGCGCACCUCUUCUGCAGUGUUAAGAGCACCCUGUAUGGUGCGGUAGUUAAAGUGAAUCACAGCUAAACAAUAAAGUUGUAUUUAAUGAAG